rnacentral:lncRNA from 1 species
AGUCCAGAGAAGUCCUGAAUUUUUCUCAUCUAUACAGACGCUCGCUUUAAAUACAUGAGGUUUAUUUUGAUUGCUUUACUUCUCAUCUUGAUACGAGCUGGUUGCUGUGGUUUUCUGUGUUCGAAGUCUUCAUGGAGGUUGAAGACGGUUCGAUUAUCUUUCCAAUGAGCUAUAGAAUGCCCUAAUCGGACUUCAUUUAAUAUGGUUUUUGUCUGUCCAAAGUCUGGUCCAGAAUCUGCCAAAUAUUUGUUUCUCUGUUUCGCAUGACCUUCUGUGUAAAUCACUUGAUAUGAACUGGUAGAUGAUGUUAUUAGGACUUAAUGUCUUCUAGAUAAUUGUAAUAGGCAUCUCAAGCUUUAAAAUGACAUAUUGCAUGCCUGAAU